rnacentral:rRNA from 1 species
AGAUUGAUCAUGGCUAGGGAUGAACGCUAUCACGGCUUAACACAUGCAAGUCGAGGGGCAGCAUGGGAGUUGCUUGCAAUUCCUGAUGGCGACCGGCGCACGGGUGAGUAACGCGUAUCCAACCUUCCCCUCAGUAGGGCAUAGCCCGUAGAAAUGCGGAUUAAUACCCUAUGCUGUCCGAUGAGGACAUCUGAGCUGGACGAAAGGUUUACCGCUGAGGGAUGGGGAUGCGUCUGAUUAGGUAGUCGGCGGGGUAACGGCCCACCGAGCCGUCGAUCAGUAGGGGUUCUGAGAGGAAGGUCCCCCACACUGGUACUGAGACACGGACCAGACUCCUACGGGAGGCAGCAGUGAGGAAUAUUGGUCAAUGGGCGAGAGCCUGAACCAGCCAAGUAGCGUGCAGGAUGACGGCCCUACGGGUUGUACACUGCUUUUAUGCGGGGAUAAGUGAGGGACUUGUCCCUUUUGCAGGUACCGCAUGAAUAAGGACGGCUAAUCCGUGCCAGCAGCCGCGGUAAUACGGAAGGUCCGGGCGUUAUCCGGAUUUAUUGGGUUUAAAGGGAGCGCAGGCCGGUGUGUAGCG